GCCAGGCAUGGUGGCACAUGCCUGUAACCCCAGUGACUUGGAGGCAGAGGCAGGAAGAUCACAAGUUCAAGGUCAGCCUCAGUAAUUUAGGCCUUCAGCAGUUUAAUGAGACCCUGUCUCAA
rnacentral:sRNA from 1 species